UGAAGAGCCAACCACUGCAUUAACAGCUGAAGACAGCACCUCAACAACUUCCCCACUAACCAGCAGUCAGUCACCAACAUUCAGCUCAAACAGUGAAACGACUAGGAAACCCGCGACUACUACGCAGAAGCAGACAGAUGCCACAAGGCUGAUCAUGAAAGUACGCGGUGUCCUGCAUGCCAACAAGAACGAGGAAGCCUUGCAGAAACUGCAGCUUUUUCUAGACAACACACUGAAGGAGCAUUGCAAUGACUGCACAGUACGGAUUCUGAGGCACAAUGUUUCCACAAAUGAUCCUAAA